rnacentral:rRNA from 1 species
AGUGAACGCUGGCGGUAGGCCUAACACAUGCAAGUCGAACGGCAGCACAGUAAGAGCUUGCUCUUACGGGUGGCGAGUGGCGGACGGGUGAGGAAUACAUCGGAAUCUACUUUUUCGUGGGGGAUAACGUAGGGAAACUUACGCUAAUACCGCAUACGACCUACGGGUGAAAGCAGGGGAUCUUCGGACCUUGCGCGAUUGAAUGAGCCGAUGUCGGAUUAGCUAGUUGGCGGGGUAAAGGCCCACCAAGGCGACGAUCCGUAGCUGGUGUGAGAGGAUGAACCGCCACAGUGGAACGGAGACACGGCCCAGACUCCGGCGGGAGGAAGCAGAGGGGAAUAUUGGACAAAGGGGGAAAGCCUGAUCCAGCAAUCCCGGGUGGGUGAAGAAGGCCUUCGGGUUGUAAAGCCCUUUUGUGGGGAAAGAAAAGCAGCGCGUUAAUACCCCGCUGUUAUGACGGUACCAAAAGAAUAAGCACCGGCUAACUUCGUG